rnacentral:lncRNA from 1 species
AAAUUGGUAUCCGAGGGAUCAGACAGUGGCAGGUGAGUGUGACUAUGCUGCCUGGAGGAUUUUUUGCCUGGCACUCUCUGCAACUUCCACCUGGCUCUGAGGUCCAUAUCCUGCCUCCAGCAGUAUCUGCACAAGCCCCUACUUUUGGAGCUGUAUGGAUCUUCUGCCAGCUUUUGUACUGAUUUACAUUUUAAAAUGAACUGAAC